AAUGGCAGUGACCUUUUCAUGAAAAGUUUAUGAAAGAGGUAGAAGUUAUAAGAACUUAGACUGCAUUCUGAAGAAUUUGUUCACCACUAAACAAACGGUGAGAACUGUCUCCCCAAAGUGGGGGAUUUUGGAUAUCCUUUACAUAUAUAUAUAUAUGAAAAAACUUUUGAAAUAGUGUGGUCUUAGAAGUAGAUUGCUACACUGGACUACUGCAUAUAUUCUUUUUUCUUCGGUUUCCUACUGGCUUCAUGUGAGACUCUGGGAAAAUCUCUUGAGGAUUCUUUUAACUUCCAUUACUUUUAUCUCUGAGUAUUAUGACACAGCACAAAGGCAGCCACCUACCUGCCAGGAAGAGAGCCCCUUCGCCUGGAACUGAAUGGCUGACACCUUGCUCUUGGACUUCCCAGGCUCCAAAAUUGAUACAGGAGUCACUGCUGACCGCCCUGGAUGGUGGUUACCACACAGGUCUCAACACCUCUCCACCUCCUCCAGCUGCUUUCCUACUUCUACUCUGCACUUUCUACUGAGAAUUGUCUCUUGUGGGCUCCUCUGCCCAGUUGGACUCACUCUAGAAACAGAUGUAUGCUGAUUACUGCUCCGUGGAUUCCCAGAGUCUUCCCUGGCCCAGCACGAAAUCUUAUGUCUAUCAGUCGUGUCAAAUGCUUUGAAAAUAGAACAUCUGUCUCCUACUUCAAAAGUGCAUUUCUAACAAAUUCCACAAAACAGCAGUCUGUCAUGCCUGAUUCCGCCAGACACACGGCAUCAAUUUCUAAGAUUAUCCAGAUUUUAUUUUAACUGAUGCUUUUCAAUAAAAAAAAUCCAUCAUGGAUCUUUCUAUCUAACAGCUAUCCUAAACCCUUUCUGAAAAGAGGCAAGGUGUUAACACAGCUAAUUUGGAAUUAAAUUCUACACUUGGAAGAUUUUCCACUACCUAAAUUCGUAAGUCAGAAGAAAUCCUGGCUGGGUAGUGAUAAAUAGGGUUGCAUACAUAUGAGUCAUAGUCUUACUCAACGGGAACAGAGUGAAGAGUCCGUUGCUCAUAUAUGGCGGAAUCUAGAGUCAGAUGGCCCAAGCUGCACUCAUGAGCCAGAUAUAUCCUAGACCAGGGACCCUUGCACUGGGGGCUAGGAAUAUCUGGAGAGUAAAUGUGUGAAUCAGUCAGAUGUAAGAAACAGGAAGUGCUUGAAUCUACUGGGGACCAGAGUGGCUAUGCCCACCUAAAGGUGUUCCAAUUAAAAAAGAAAAAUUAAGCCAGAUGCUACCAGACAAAACAUGUGUACAAGCAUCAUUUGGCCAAUAACUGCCAGUUUGCAAAUUCUGAUCAAAGGGAAAAUAAAAUAAAAACCCUAAAGACCUCCACUGGGAACUUCAAAUCUAAUUAAAGAGAAAAUAUUGCUGAAAUAUUGAAAGACCAAAAAAAAAAUA